rnacentral:rRNA from 1 species
UGCGCAGGCGGGCUUGUAAGUCAGUGGUGAAAUACUGCCGCUUAACGGUAGAACUGCCAUUGAUACUGCGAGUCUUGAAUAUGGUUGAGGUAGGCGGAAUGUGUUGUGUAGCGGUGAAAUGCAUAGAUAUGACACAGAACGCCAAUUGCGAAGGCAGCUUACUAAGCCAUUAUUGACGCUGAGGCACGAAAGCGUGGGGAGCGAACAGGAUUAGAUACCUUGGUAGUCC